UCUUCCAAUGCGAUGCCAGUAGCACCCUCAAUUGUGAAAAUCAAAAAUGUCUCCCGACAUCGCCACUUGUUUCCUGAGGGCAAUUACCAGUUGUUGUAAACUACUGUUUUACAUACUUUUUUGGUUUUUGAAUCUCUAAAGAGAGGAGUUGUGAUAAGAUGUGUCUUUUCCAGCUCUAAUAUUCUCUGACCUGUCCAGCCAGGCUCACAAAAUCGAUGAGAAACUCUAUCUGUUCUUAUCAGAUGCAGAUAAGAAACGUGGGAAGCCACAAGAAAGCCAAGUAGCCUGGGAAAUUGUGGUCAUUGAGCCAUGAGCAAAAAAUAACAGUUGAUUCUGUUGGGGCCACCUGACAGCAGAGAUGGCUGAGGACCCCCGAGCAAUGUGUGAAUGAAAGGCUUAAGAAUACAUCUCACCCAGGCAGCCUGGGUUCAACUCUCCAUGUGAGAAUACCAAGCUUGGUUGGGCACCGUGCCUCACAUCUGUAAUCCCACUUUGAGAGGCUGAGGCAGGAAGAUUACUUGAAGCCAAGAAUUGGAGAACAACCUGGGCAACAAAGUGAGACUCCAUCUCUACAAUUUUUUUUUUUAAUUAGCCAGAUGCAGUGGUGCACACCUGUAGUCUCAGCUUCUCAGGAGGCUGAAGCAGGAUUGCUUGAGCCCAUGACUCCAGAAGUUUGAGACGGCAGUGAGUUACGAUCACACCGCUGCAUUAGAGCCUGAAUGGCAGAGUGAGAGCCUAUCUCUAAACUAAGUAAACAAAUACAGACAUAUAUACAUAAAAUAAUAAUUAUUAUAAUAAAAAGAAUACAAGCAGUCUGCAAUUUGUGUGUUAUGGUGCUAACUGCAACUCAUGUAUGUUGUACCCUCAUUUUUCACAA